rnacentral:lncRNA from 1 species
AGAGGAAGACACCAGAGCUGUCCCUCUCUCGGCUUGCACUAAGGAGGAGGUCACGUGAGCACACAGUGAGAAGGCGGAGGACCAUCUGCAAGCAGGAAGAGAGCCCUCGCUAGAACCCCCCACGGUGGCAUCUGAUAGUGGACUUCUAGCUUCCAGAACUGAACUCAUAAAUGUCACAUCAGGCUGCCUCUUGGUGAAUUUUUAAUCAACGGGGAGAAUUUCAGCUACAAAUAGACCAAGAAUCAAGAGGCCCACUAUUGAUCGGUCAAAGUGGCACUUAUGAACCUGAGGUUGAAGCAGUUUGGAUAAAAGGAUUCUGGGCUUUCGAUGGCCCCAGAGACAUCUUUUUCCAUCAAGUCCAGGCUUGCUGAUCGGUACAGCUGAGAACAUGUUGAAUUUGAUGUGCCUGUGGAUAUUUGAGUCUGGAACAUUGAAGACAAGUUUGGUCUGGAGAUGUAGACUGGGGAUAUCUCAGCACACAGAUGAUAACUGAAAUGAUGGAGCGGAUGAUAUAAACUGGAGAGAGUCUGGUGUGGGAAGAGUCUUCCCUGAGGUGGCCGAAAGAUGUAAUUCUUACUCCAAAGACUGAAAUAGAGACAAGAGAAGCUGAAGUUACAGGGUUUUGUCAUUGGGAAGACAGUAGAGUGUGUCAUAUCCCAAGAGUGAAGCAAGGACAAACCAAAGAACAACUGGGAAGAUCUGGGAGAAAAAGGGAGAGGAGAGCCUGACGUUUCAAGAACUCAAGGUUCAGUACUAGGUCUUAGAGGAAGACUUCAUUUUAGCUUUGAUGCUCUCCGCUAGGCACAGAGAAACUUAAGCAGAAUGACAAGACCUGCUGUUUGAGUAACUCACGUUCUGACCAGAGAGACAGACAUGUCAGCAAGAGGUUACAAUACAGUGUGCUCAGAUUCUCCGGGACUUGGAGCACUUGUUCCAGAAAGGAAGGCCAGGGAAGUCUUCCAGGAGUAGAUGGCGCCUCUGCUGACCUGAAGGGUGAGGAAAAAGUGUCCAGUUGCAGAAGGUGCAACUGCCUAUAGAACAGCUGCCGCGGCCCACUGAAAGCUUCAAGCCGAGACCUGAGGUGCAUGAACCCUCCUUCUGAUAAGCUUCAGAGCAGAAAUGAUGCAACUGAGUCACAGAGAAGUUAAGUAAUCUGCCUGCCGACACUCGGGUCGAUGCCGCCUCAUUCCAUCACUCGGGCAAUGGAGCCAAAGGCCACGUUCACAACCACUAGGCUGUCCCAGCCCCUUGCUUCAAAGAUAGCCAGGCAGGAGUUAUUUUAUAGAAUGGAAGUAAUUUCUACGGGGCCAAGCAAUAAUAAGGAAAUUGGAAGUCAAGGACUAUCUUCCGAAUGGAGAAGAAGCUCCAUCAACCACAGAAGGAAAUUAUGAUCACUCCUGCCAUCCUGCUCCUUUGUGUAUCCAGGAUGAAGGGGAGAAUUGGAGUCUUGCACAAUGAAAGGACAACAUUGCUGCCAAAACAAUCCAUCGUGACUGUAGACAUAUUUUCCACCCUCAUCCUGCAGGUUUUCUGCCAGUUGUUGGCCCCUCACCAAUUUUGCUCCUGGGCAGUCUGAGGUGGAACAUAAUUUUGUAUAAAACAAAUUAUGCUCAACCUCACUUAUAAUCAGGGAAAUGUGAGUCAAAACCACAAUAAAAUAUCACCUC